UACGAAGGGGGCUAGCGUUGUUCGGAAUUACUGGGCGUAAAGCGCACGUAGGCGGCUUUGUAAGUUAGAGGUGAAAGCCCAGGGCUUAACCCUGGAAUUGCCUUUAAGACUGCAUCGCUAGAAUCGUGGAGAGGUGAGUGGAAUUCCGAGUGUAGAGGUGAAAUUCGUAGAUAUUCGGAAGAACACCAGUGGCGAAGGCGGCUUCCUGGCCUGUAACUGACGCUGAGACGCGAAAGCGUGGGGAGCGAACCGGAUUGAGAA
rnacentral:rRNA from 1 species